AUAAGGAAUCCAUUUACCCUGUGGUUUUUAGGACGUUUAUUUGUAGUAAUUUUUAUUGAGUGUUUUUCACUCCCUUUCCAUUAGAUGGUUGGAUGAGUUGUAUCAGUUGUUAGUGACAUUUUUUUGCUUGGCAUUUUGCGGUUGUGUAUAUCCUGUACAUCUGUUGUGUCUAUUUUGUUGUUGAGAAUAAAAUGAUGUCAA
rnacentral:misc_RNA from 1 species